UAAUAUGUAUUUGUUGUGAAGAAAAGAGGGCCGAGUUUUCGGCUGAGGGCUUAUUCCUCUUCCUCAGAAUGCAAGAAAAACACAGAAAGAGGAAAAUUAUGACCUAAUGCAAAAUUUCCUUCAAGGCAACUAUGUUUAUUUCAUGGUAGGAAGCAGCUGACAACGAGGUUUGAGUUACAGGAGAGAAGCAUAUUUGUCUCCCAGCCAAGUGGCUUUAAAUGCCUCUAUCAUCAAAGGAGGAACCAAGCUGCACCUCACAUCUAUGCAACUUAAGCAUAAAGAGGCUGGAUCAUCUGCAUAGUAUACUAACAACCCAGAUAUUUGAGGUGACAUCUAUUUCAAAUUGGGAUUCUGCAACAAAUUAUGAAGGGAAUACCAUUUAAAAAACUCUGAAACUCAUGGACUUGGAGAACAGACAUGUGGUUGCCUAGGGGGAGGGAGAGGGAGUGGGAUGGACUUGGAGUUCAGGGUUAGUAGAUGCAAACUAUUGUAUCUGGAGUGGAUAAGCAAUGAAAUCCUGCUGUAUAGCCCAGGUAACUAUAUCUAGCCACUUGUGAUGGAACAUGAUGGAGGAUAAUGUGAGAAAAAGAAUGUAUAUAUAUGUGUGACUGAGUCACUUUGUUGUACAGUGGAAAUUGACAGAACAUUGUAAAUCAACUAUAAUAGAAAAAAUAAAAAUCUUAAGAAAAACCCAACAACUCUGAAAGCCUCUGGAAACAUGUAGAUCAUCCCAUUCUAGAAGUCAGUAAGGGCUAAGUACUUAUGUCUAUUGUGAACAUGUUUUUGUUCGGUUUUUGAUUUUUUUUUUUUUUUUGGCUGCGCCAACAUUAUAUAGAAGUUCCCAGGCCAGGGAUCAAACCCACACCACAGUAGUGACCCAAGAUAUUGCAGUGACAAUGCUGGAUCCUCAACCUGCUGUGCCAAAAGAGAACUUCUGCAAAUGCUGAUGUUAAGUGUUGGCAUUUACCAGAGAAGGAUAUACAGUGAACAACCUCUUUAGGGUGUUACAUUUUCCAUACUUCCCCAAAUUUCUAUUCUCUUCCUCUUUUUCUAGGCUCCAAACUCAUGUUUAUAUUCCUCAUGUAUCUUGUUCCAUC
rnacentral:lncRNA from 1 species